rnacentral:rRNA from 1 species
GACGAACGCUGGCGGCGUGCCUAAUACAUGCAAGUUGAGCGCUGAAGGUUGGUACUUGUACCAACUGGAUGAGCAGCGAACGGGUGAGUAACGCGUGGGGAAUCUGCCUUUGAGCGGGGGACAACAUUUGGAAACGAAUGCUAAUACCGCAUAAAAACUUUAAACACAAGUUUUAAGUUUGAAAGAUGCAAUUGCAUCACUCAAAGAUGAUCCCGCGUUGUAUUAGCUAGUUGGUGAGGUAAAGGCUCACCAAGGCGAAGAUACAUAGCCGACCUGAGAGGGUGAUCGGCCACAUUGGGACUGAGACACGGCCCAAACUCCUACGGGAGGCAGCAGUAGGGAAUCUUCGGCAAUGGACGAAAGUCUGACCGAGCAACGCCGCGUGAGUGAAGAAGGUUUUCGGAUCGUAAAACUCUGUUGGUAGAGAAGAACGUUGGUGAGAGUGGAAAGCUCAUCAAGUGACGGUAACUACCCAGAAAGGGACGGCUAACUACGUG